AAUUCAUGCAUUAGACAUUUCUGAAUUAAGCCUUUAAAUCAUUCCCAAGCUUUAUAUAGUAUUUCAUCCUCCGAUUGCUGAAAAUAUUGGAUGUCAUUUCUAAGCUU
rnacentral:snoRNA from 1 species